AUUGAACGCUGGCGGCAUGCCUUACACAUGCAAGUCGAACGGCAGCACGGGGGCAACCCUGGUGGCGAGUGGCGAACGGGUGAGUAACAUAUCGGAACAUACCCUAGAGUGGGGGAUAACGUAGCGAAAGUUACGCUAAUACCGCAUACGAUCUAAGGAUGAAAGUGGGGGAUCUUCGGACCUCAUGCUCAUGGAGUGGCCGAUAUCUGAUUAGCUAGUUGGUGAGGUAAAGGCUCACCAAGGCGACGAUCAGUAGCUGGUUUGAGAGAACGACCAGCCACACUGGAACUGAGACACGGUCCAGACUCCUACGGAGGCAGCAGUGGGGAAUUUUGGGACAAUGGGGGCAACCCUGAUCCAGCAAUGCCGCGUGAGUGAAGAAGGCCUCGGGUUGUAA
rnacentral:rRNA from 1 species